UAACCAUGAUGUGGGCAACGUCGUAUUAAGUCCUUAAACCUUUCCCAAGCCUCAUAGACUGGUUCUUGCUCUAAUUUUUUAAAUUUCCCAAUAUCACUGCGUAA